CAUGCAAGUCGAACGGACCUUCGGGUCAGUGGCGGACGGGUGAGUAACACGUAAGCAACCUGCCCAGAAGUGGGGAAUAACCCACCGAAAGGUGAGCUAAUACCGCAUGUGAUGGACCUUCCCUGGAGGGUUCAUUAAAGGCUUAGGUCGCUUCUGGAGGGGCUUGCGCUCGAUUAGCUUGUUGGUGGGGUAAUGGCCUACCAAGGCAACGAUCGAUAGCUGGUCUGAGAGGACGGUCAGCCACACGGGGACUGAGAUACGGCCCCGACUCCUACGGGAGGCAGCAGCUAGGAAUCUUGGGAAUGGGCGAAAGCCUGACCCAGCAACGCCGCGUGGGCGAUGAAGGCCUUAGGGUCGUAAAGCCCUUUUGCGGGGGACGAUGAUGACGGUACCCCGCGAAUAAGCCACGGCUAACUACGUGCCAGCAGCCGCGGUAAUACGUAGGUGGCAAGCGUUGUCCGGAUUUACUGGGCGUAAAGGGCGCGCAGGCGGUCUGUUUAGUCUAGGGUGAAAGCUCCCGGCUCAACUGGGAGAGGUCCUUGGAUACUGGCAGACUCGAGGGAUGCAGAGGAAAGUGGAAUUCCCGGUGUAGUGGUGAUAUGCGUAGAUAUCGGGAGGAACACCAGUGGCGAAAGCGGCUUUCUGGGCAUUACCUGACGCUGA
rnacentral:rRNA from 1 species